GGUUGUGGCUCAGCGGUAGAGCACUCGCCUCACAUGUGUAAGGCCCUGGGUUAGAUCCUUAGCACCA
rnacentral:tRNA from 1 species